AGAGUUUGAUCCUGGCUCAGAUUGAACGCUGGCGGCAGGCCUAACACAUGCAAGUCGAGCGGUAGCACAGAGAGCUUGCUCUCGGGUGACGAGCGGCGGACGGGUGAGUAAUGUCUGGGAAAUUGCCUGAUGGAGGGGGAUAACUACUGGAAACGGUAGCUAAUACCGCAUAACGUCGCAAGACCAAAGUGGGGGACCUUCGGGCCUCAUGCCAUCAGAUGUGCCCAGAUGGGAUUAGCUAGUAGGUGGGGUAACGGCUCACCUAGGCGACGAUCCCUAGCUGGUCUGAGAGGAUGACCAGCCACACUGGAACUGAGACACGGUCCAGACUCCUACGGGAGGCAGCAGUGGGGAAUAUUGCACAAUGGGCGCAAGCCUGAUGCAGCCAUGCCGCGUGUGUGAAGAAGGCCUUCGGGUUGUAAAGCACUUUCAGCGGGGAGGAAGGCGUUAAGGUUAAUAACCUUGGCGAUUGACGUUACCCGCAGAAGAAGCACCGGCUAACUCCGUGCCAGCAGCCGCGGUAAUACGGAGGGUGCAAGCGUUAAUCGGAAUUACUGGGCGUAAAGCGCACGCAGGCGGUCUGUCAAGUCGGAUGUGAAAUCCCCGGGCUCAACCUGGGAACUGCAUUCGAAACUGGCAGGCUAGAGUCUUGUAGAGGGGGGUAGAAUUCCAGGUGUAGCGGUGAAAUGCGUAGAGAUCUGGAGGAAUACCGGUGGCGAAGGCGGCCCCCUGGACAAAGACUGACGCUCAGUGCGAAAGCGUGGGGAGCAAACAGGAUUAGAUACCCUGGUAGUCCACGCCGUAAACGAUGUCGAUUUGGAGGUUGUGCCCUUGAGGCGUGGCUUCCGGAGCUAACGCGUUAAAUCGACCGCCUGGGGAGUACGGCCGCAAGGUUAAAACUCAAGUGAAUUGACGGGGGCCCGCACAAGCGGUGGAGCAUGUGGUUUAAUUCGAUGCAACGCGAAGAACCUUACCUGGUCUUGACAUCCACAGAACUUUCCAGAGAUGGAUUGGUGCCUUCGGGAACUGUGAGACAGGUGCUGCAUGGCUGUCGUCAGCUCGUGUUGUGAAAUGUUGGGUUAAGUCCCGCAACGAGCGCAACCCUUAUCCUUUGUUGCCAGCGGUCCGGCCGGGAACUCAAAGGAGACUGCCAGUGAUAAACUGGAGGAAGGUGGGGAUGACGUCAAGUCAUCAUGGCCCUUACGACCAGGGCUACACACGUGCUACAAUGGCAUAUACAAAGAGAAGCGACCUCGCGAGAGCAAGCGGACCUCAUAAAGUAUGUCGUAGUCCGGAUUGGAGUCUGCAACUCGACUCCAUGAAGUCGGAAUCGCUAGUAAUCGUAGAUCAGAAUGCUACGGUGAAUACGUUCCCGGGCCUUGUACACACCGCCCGUCACACCAUGGGAGUGGGUUGCAAAAGAAGUAGGUAGCUUAACCUUCGGGAGGGCGCUUACCACUUUGUGAUUCAUGACUGGGGUGAAGUCGUAACAAGGUAACCGUA
rnacentral:rRNA from 1 species